GGAGGCCUCUAUCAGAGCAAAGAAUUUGGAGCUGCUUCCAAUCUGAAACUUCCUUAGCGUUGUAAAAAGCACCCUUCAUUCGAAAUCGCUCAGUGCCUGGACUCAGAGAAAGUGGGAGAGUUACCAAGGCUCGGGCCCCAAGGCACAGUGAGAAGAAACUGAGGCAAUGCCAAGAACACCCCGACCUCAUGAGCUUCAAAGAAGCUGCUGCUGCAGUUCCCGGUUCUGAGGCACCUCCAAGACCACUCUCAUCCAAACUCUCAAAACACUCCCCUUGGGUGAGCUGUCCCUUAAAAGGAACAGGGCUGGGCCUUCACAAAGGCUCCUGUGAGACUUCUACCCCCUAUGGGUCUGGUAGCACCAAGGGAUUUCUCAUGCUAUGACCACAGACAUCAUCAAGAGGGUAGAGAGACCAAGUGGCCAGUGAAUUGGCACACAUGAAGAUUCUUUGUGAUCUGUAAAGAAAGUGUAAAAUCUGCAACAAACUGUGGAAUAAUCUGACAUAGGAAGAGGUGGAUGGUACAGAAGAACAAUAAAAUAAUAGCCAGCCU
rnacentral:lncRNA from 10 species